UGCCUGGUAAGCCUAGCCUUAAGAUUUUAGUGCAACAAUGAAAACUGAACAUGCAUCUACAAAAUGCAUUGAACAUCAAGCUUGAAUGUGCUUUUCUGACUAAUCUACAUAAAUAAAGUUAAAUUUAUCUCUGAUAGUUGCUGCAUCUAGUAAAAAUGACUACAUAGAUGUUCUCAAAUUUAGAAAGCCUUCUUAGGAUAAUUUGAUUUAAAAUGUAGGCUAUUUAUCAAGCAAGAAAUUCACUUAGAAAAGACUCAGGAAACCCCUUAAAGAGAUGCAUUCAAUGGAACUUAAAGCAUUGAUCUGCACAGAGCUGCUUCUCACACUGCAACUGCAUCUACUUUGCUUCUUCGAUUGACAAGGAUUUUCUUUCACCUUGAAAACCUGCACGUAGUGAGGAGUUUCUUUGCCUUAUUCCUGCAGUUUUAACAUAUCCUACUGAGGAAAGACAGUCUCACUUUCUUGCCCAGGCUGGAGUGCAGUGGUUCCAUCUCGACUCACUGCAACUUCCGCCUCCCAGGUUCAAGCCAUUCUCCUGCCUCUUGCCUCAGCCUCUGGAGUAGCUGAGAUAACAGGUGGAGUCUUGCUCUGUCUCCAGGCUGGAGUGCAGUGGCACAGUCUCCGCUCACUGCAACCUCUGUCUCCCUUUCAAGUCAUUCUCCUGCCUCAGCCUCCCGAGUAGCUGGAACUACAGGUGAGUGCCACGAUGCCCAGCUAAUUUUUAUAUUUUUAGUAGAGAUGGGCUUUCUCCAUGUUGUCCAGGAUAGUAUUGAUCUCUUGACCUCAUGAUCUGCCCACCUCAGCCUCAUAAAGUGCUGAGAUUACAGGUGUGAACCACCAGACCCACCCAUUUACUUCAUUGCUCAGCACCCCUCAUUUCAUCUCAUUGGUUCUCAACAAUUCUAAUCACUUGUUGUGAGAGCAAAAUUUCUUUUAGAUAAAACAAAUAAAUGUGUUUUUAAUUUGAGCCUCUCUUUUGU